CGAGGUGUAGCGCAGUUGGCUAGCGCGCCUGCUUUGGGAGCAGGAUGUCGGGGGUUCGAGUCCCUUCACCUCGACCA
rnacentral:tRNA from 1 species